GCAGUUUAUGCAUUUAUUAAUUUAUUUUAUUCUUUUUCAGGGAUAUUGUCAGUAUACCGUUGCUACCAGGAAAAAGUUGAAUUCAAGGGUCACGAUUUUGACCUUUUGCCGGGUCAGCAGUGCCGCACUUAGAAUUCUGAAGGACGGGGGGGCAUCCCAGCAUGGAAACGGCAUCAAAACAUUAUAGGUUUUUUGUGUUUUAGGUGCCAAAAUCGUCGUUUUCCAUUUCGCCGAGUCGGGAAGUAGGAUUUUGUCUGUGUGCCGUUGCUGCCAGGAAAAAGUCGAAUUCAAGGGUCGCGAGAUUGACCCUUUGCCGGGUCAGUAGCGGCGCGCCAAGGGUUCAGAAGGACGAGGGGGCACCCCAGCAUGGAGACGGCAUCCAAACAUUAUAGGUUUUUAAUGUUUUAGGUGCCUAAAACUUCGUUUUUCGUUGCGCCUAGGAUAUUGUCAGUAUUAUCGUUGCUACCAGAAAAAGUCGAAAUUCAAGGGUCCCGAUUUUGACCUUUUGCCGGGUCGGCAGCGCCGCCCCAAGGGUCAAUAAAAUCGAGGGGGCUCCCUGAAAUAGGGACGGCAUCAAAACAUUGUGAAUU